rnacentral:rRNA from 1 species
CAGUCGCCACGGGAAUACGUAGGGGGCAAGCGUUGUCCGGAAUCAUUGGGCGUAAAGAGCGUGUAGGCGGCUCGGUAAGUCCGCUGUGAAAGUCCAGGGCUCAACCCUGGAAUGCCGGUGGAAACUGUCGAGCUAGAGUCCGGAAGAGGCGAGUGGAAUUCCUGGUGUAGCGGUGAAAUGCGCAGAUAUCAGGAGGAACACCAAUGGCGAAGGCAGCUCGCUGGGACGGUACUGACGCUGAGACGCGAAAGCGUGGGGAGCAAACAGGAUUAGAUACCCGCGUAGUCCCUGUCUCUUAUAC